AGUUCUUAGCUUUCAGCAGACUCCGCACAUGGCCCCUUCAGUGAAAUAUUGUGAAGAUGGCGCUCACUGGGUGUAGCUAGGCCAGUGCUUGGGCAGAGAUUGCAAGUGUGUACUCCUUGCCUGUUGUCAACACAGGGUGCUUGGGUCACACCCUCUACAAGUCCAAUCAAAUUAGCUUGAGAGAGACUUGAACGAUAACUUUAAGCAAUUGCUUUUGAUAUACUGAAGUAGCUCAUUUAGGACCAAUCUCUCCAGGAGCAGGGACCACACUCUUAAAAGUGUUAAAAAGCCAAGACUUUCCUGACCUCUUGGAGACAGACUGGGAGGCUGCCAUGCAUAAGACCGCGCUCCCUGUACACCCUUGAAGGAGAGCGUGACGAUGCUCAGGGCACACGUGCAGCCACAGUAGACCGUACUGGGAAAAAGGACUCCAAACUCAGGUGCCUGGGGCAUGUUAGUGGAGUGUGCGUGUGGACAAGACGUGCUGAAGAACUCCAGCCACGAUUCAGGUGAACUCCCCAAUCUAGCUGCAUCUGAGGUUCGUGUCACUGACGGUGAAAGGGAAUUGAAAGUGUAUGUUUCAUUGCAUUUUUUAGUGUGUUUCCCCCACGAGCGACAUUAACACUUACUGUGGA